rnacentral:rRNA from 1 species
UUUUUAUAAGAUAAUUAUAAAUAAAAUCUGCUCAAUGAUAUUUUAAAUAGCCGCAGAAACUUCUGUGCUAAGGUAGCAUAAUCAUUUACCUUUUAAAUAAAGGAUAGAAUGAAAGAUUUAACAGCUAAAUUAAUUUUUUAAUUUUACUAAUUUAAAUUAUACUAAAUAUAAAAAUAUAUUUAUUUAUAAAUUAGACAAUAAGACCCUAAUAAAUUUUACUUUAGUUUAGCUGGGGAAGCUAAUUAAUUAUUAUUUUAAUUAAAAUAAUUUUAAAAACAUCUUUAUUAAAAAUAAAAAAUUACUAUAGGGAUAACAGCGUAAUAAAUUUUUGCAGAUCAUAUAUAAAAAUUAGUUUACGACCUCGAUGUUGAAUUACUUUAUCUAAUUAUAGUAAAAAAUAAUACAAGAAGAUCUGUUCGAUCAUUAAAAAAGUACA